rnacentral:rRNA from 1 species
UACGUAGGGUGCAAGCGUUGUCCGGAUUUAUUGGGCGUAAAGAGCGUGUAGGCGGUCAGGUAGGUCCGUUGUGAAAACUCGAGGCUCAACCUCGAGACGCCGAUGGAAACCAUCUGACUAGAGUCCGGAAGAGGAGAGUGGAAUUCCUGGUGUAGCGGUGAAAUGCGCAGAUAUCAGGAAGACACCCGUGGCUAAGGCGGCUCUCUAGUACGGUACUGACGCUGAGACGCGAAAGCGUGGGGAGCGAACAGG